rnacentral:rRNA from 1 species
UAUCAAUAAGCGGAGCACAAGGGUCCCUGCAUUGCCCUAGGCGGAACAUAAGGGUCCCUGCCUUGNNCUACGCACUCUUCGUCUUUGUUUCUUGAAACAGGCCGUCCCAUAGAGGUGAGAAUCCCGUGCGAUGAGAUGCCCAAUUCUAUGUAAGGUGCUUUCGAAGAGUCGAGUUGUUUGGGAAUGCAGCUCUAAGUGGGUGGUAAAUUCCAUCUAAAGCUAAAUAUUGGCGAGAGACCGAUAGCGAACAAGUACAGUGAUGGAAAGAUGAAAAGAACUUUGAAAAGAGAGUGAAAAAGUACGUGAAAUUGUUGAAAGGGAAGGGUUUGAGAUCAGACUCGAUAUUUUGUGAGCCUUGCCUUCGUGGCGGGGUGACCCGCAGCUUAUCGGGCCAGCAUCGGUUUGGGCGGUAGGAUAAUGGCGUAGGAAUGUGACUUUACUUCGGUGAAGUGUUAUAGCCUGCGUUGAUGCUGCCUGCCUAGACCGAGGACUGCGAUUUUAUCAAGGAUGCUGGCAUAAUGAUCCCAAACC